rnacentral:lncRNA from 1 species
AGGUUCAAGUAAGUUCAUGUAAGGAACUGCUUUCCAGUGAAGAAGCCUCUAAUGCAGAGGGCACAAUGUAUCAGGAAAAAAGACAAAUGGACAAAUGUGGAACAGAAAGGCAAGACCCCUUUUACUGAGUUCCCAUUUGUCUUUCCCUUCUCCCUUUUCUCCCCCCUCCCCUCAAAAAACACUGAGCGGACGUGGAGAUUUGUACAGCUGUUUCAUCUCUGGGAGCAGACACUGAAGUGUGUCCCAGGGCUGUUGGUCAUAGCCCUCUGUCCUGGAAGGUGA